UACCCAUAUCUCUGGUUGCCACCAGCCAACC
rnacentral:piRNA from 1 species